GCCGCUAUUCAGUUCGCGUUGCAAGUCGGCCGAAUAUAGUUACUGAAUCGCAACUACCGUGCCGUUUUCGCGUCUGUUUUCCUGAUCUGCGCAAAUUUCGCGUGCGAACGAACAUCAGUAAAAUUGAAGUCAACAAGGGAGGAUCGUUUCGACAUAUUAUUUACGCGACCGCAAUUAGCGCUCCUCUCAAUAUUCAUAACCUAUUUAUUGCUUCGCAUUCAAUCGGACAGGCGUCCAUCAAAAGGAUCCAUGUCGCGCGUUCGCUUGUCCGAUAAUUGUCCCGAAUGCCAUCUAGCUUCCGAAAUGGAGAAGCAUUAAGAGGCAUCAAUAGAUCGCCGCGGCUACGAGGUCAUGAUAUAUUAGCGGAACAGCUGAUUUCACUUACUGAUGUUCGUGUAAUGGUUCGUAUCCACUUCAAUUGCCGAUUGUGCGUAACUUCUCGAAUUCUCGCCAGUCGCAAGCGUAUCGUGCAUGACAGAAAUCGGGAGUGCCGAAUAAUUCUACGGGCGAGUGUGUCAAUUAAUCCGUUCAAUUGCAAUCAAAUGCGUAUCGCGCCGAUUGCGUUUCGUCGGCAUAACCUAUAACGUGUGUGCAUUAUUUCGUGAGUUUUAUUCGUGAGUUUUAUUCGUGAAUGUGAUUAUUCGCGAAUGUGAUCGAAAAUUGCGAAUAUAUCAUAAAUACAUCGUGGUGCAUCGAGAGAUCACUAUAACGGAUUAAUCGAGAGAAAGAGAGGGAGAGAGAGAGAUGGCUGCUGCAUACCUACGGUGUUCCGUGGUGAUAAAUUUCAUGCUAUACUUGGCUGCUAAUAAAUAUUCAUUCUGCUAUAAUUCACGCGAACGUGCGCGAGUGUUAUGAAGCAGCAAAAUCAUUGAGAAAAGGAGAAAGCCCAAGGGACAUAACGAGACAUCGGAGCAGAAUUGCGGAUGAUAGCAACGGGAUGAUACGACAAAACAGAAAGCGGCGGAUUCGGCGUGGCCGUAAUUGGCGUCGUGAAGAGGAAAACGAGAGAGGUCGUAGGCAGCCAGGUCGCUGUUUAUACAUGUGCGGUUGCAGACAUAACAGUCGUUAGAUGUAGCUAAAAGCAUACUUAACCAGAUAACAACGGCCGGUGAGUGAAUUUAUUUAUUACGUUGCCGAAUCACGCUAAAUAUUGAAGAAAAAGA
rnacentral:lncRNA from 1 species